AAAACACUCAAAUCUGCCUAAAAACACUAACUGGGCAGAUUUGGACUCUAAACACACUUUUGGACGAAUUUUGGUUUCAACUUGGUUCGAAAUACUUAAAAACACAAACUAAAUCAGUUUCUAACUAAUAUGACUCAACAAGGUAAAGGGGGUUUUGGUUUUGAUGAAUUUGAAAACAAAACAAGUAAAUUAAAAGAACUAAUGAAAUCUGCACGAAUUUGAGUAAAUUGAAUGGAUGGAAGGCUAGCUAGGAGGGUUAUUCUCCACACAUGACACACUUGCACAUAAACCAAUUUUUAGUUGUUCUUUCGAUAAAUCAUGAAACUCAACACCCCAGGUUAAUUAAGUCCGCUUAAAUUAACCUUCAAAUUCUCCUUAAGUUAUUGAAUUGGAUGGGAAAACGCAUACAACAAUUUAAGCAUUCUUCAAAAGUCCUUUUCGUGAACAGCACAAUAAAAAUACAAUAAAAAAUCAUUAAGCAUUAUGAAAACUAUAAGUAUUGACGAGACAUUCGUUACUAUGAUGAGCAUGAAACUCCUGCCAAGAAUUCAUUUAACGCAAUCAUUUAUAAGCGACCUCCACUACUUGUGAAUAUAAGUUUGUAACUAUUAGAUGAAACUCCCUUAUACUCUAGCAUCAUAUUCAUGUAUGCAAACUAAGUAUGCACUCUUAAUAAACAUACACGAAUAAGUUAUCAAUCAAGCAGUUAAACAAAUUGAAUUCACAACUUAUGAAAUCACAAUUUAAGGUAAUCAAUUCAUAUUGCAAGUAUGUUCAUGGCUUUGAAUUCCCCCUAGUUAAGGGGUUUAGUUCUUCAUACUCACAAAGCAAAGAUAAACAAAUUUAGACAUUGAAAACAAAAAAAUGAAUACACCUAAAAACGCUCCAAUAAUCCAACUUGAAUGGUAAACACGUCCAAGGGUCAUCCUCAUUCUCUUUGUUGCGGCACAAGGUGUGGUUUGAUGGAUGCAUAUGGAUAUAUAGAAGGGAAUGGCUGAAUGUGUUUAGGUUGGAUGGAGGUCACGACAAGGAAAGGGAAAUGAAGGUGCAUGAAAUUGUGUUUUUGUUGUGGGAAUGUGUAGAAUGGUUAAGAAGAAAAGACUCUACCUUGCGGCAGAAUGUGUCUUCCUCCCUUCUCCCUAAACUGUCCCCCCUGGAUGUGUCUUUGGAUGGAUAUA
rnacentral:lncRNA from 1 species